rnacentral:rRNA from 1 species
CCUGACUGCUAUCGGAUUGAUACUAAGCCAUGCGAGUCAUUGUAGUAAUACAAGGCAGACGGCUCAGUAACGCGUAGUCAACCUACCCUAUGGACGGGGAUAACCUCGGGAAACUGAGAAUAAUACCCGAUAGAACAUUAUGCCUGGAAUGGUUUAUGUUUCAAAUAAUUUAUUGCCGUAGGAUGGGACUGCGGCCUAUCAGUUUGUUGGUGAGGUAAUGGCCCACCAAGACUAUUACAGGUACGGGCUCUGAGAGGAGUAGCCCGGAGAUGGGUACUGAGACACGGACCCAGGCCCUAUGGGGCGCAGCAGGCGAGAAAACUUUGCAAUGUGCGAAAGCACGACAAGGUUAAUCCGAGUGGUUUCUGCUAAAGGAACCUUUUGUCAGUCCUAGAAACACUGAUGAAUAAGGGGUGGGCAAGUUCUGGUGUCAGCCGCCGCGGUAAAACCAGCACCUCAAGUGGUCAGGAUGAUUAUUGGGCCUAAAGCAUCCGUAGCCUGCUUUGUUAGUUUUCGGUUAAAUCCAUACGCUCAACGUAUGGGCUGCCGGGAAUACUGCAGAGCUAGGGAGUGGGAGAGGUAGACGGUACUCGGUAGGAAGGGGUAAAAUCCUUUGAUCUAUUGAUGACCACCUGUGGCGAAGGCGGUCUACCAGAACACGUCCGACGGUGAGGGAUGAAAGCUGGGGGAGCAAACCGGAUUAGAUACCCGGGUAGUCCCAGCUGUAAACUAUGCAAACUCAGUGAUGCAUUGGCUUGAUGCCAAUGCAGUGCUGCAGGGAAGCCGUUAAGUUUGCCGCCUGGGAAGUACGUACGCAAGUAUGAAACUUAAAGGAAUUGGCGGGGGAGCACCACAAGGGGUGAAGCCUGCGGUUC